AAAGCGAGCGGCGGAUGGGUGAGUAACACGUGGGGAACCUGCCCCUAAGUCUGGGAUACCAUUUGGAAACAGGUGCUAAUACCGGAUAAUAAAGCAGAUCGCAUGAUCAGCUUUUGAAAGGCGGCGUAAGCUGUCGCUAAGGGAUGGCCCCGCGGUGCAUUAGCUAGUUGGUAAGGUAACGGCUUACCAAGGCGACGAUGCAUAGCCGAGUUGAGAGACUGAUCGGCCACAUUGGGACUGAGACACGGCCCAAACUCCUACGGGAGGCAGCAGUAGGGAAUCUUCCACAAUGGACGCAAGUCUGAUGGAGCAACGCCGCGUGAGUGAAGAAGGUUUUCGGAUCGUAAAGCUCUGUUGUUGGUGAAGAAGGAUAGAGGUAGUAACUGGCCUUUAUUUGACGGUAAUCAACCAGAAAGUCACGGCUAACUACGUGCCAGCAGCCGCGGUAAUACGUAGGUGGCAAGCGUUGUCCGGAUUUAUUGGGCGUAAAGCGAGCGCAGGCGGAAAAAUAAGUCUAAUGUGAAAGCCCUCGGCUUAACCGAGGAACUGCAUCGGAAACUGUUUUUCUUGAGUGCAGAAAAGGAGAGUGGAACUCCAUGUGUAGCGGUGGAAUGCGUAGAUAUAUGGAAGAACACCAGUGGCGAAGGCGGCUCUCUGGUCUGCAACUGACGCUGAGGCUCGAAAGCAUGGGUAGCGAACAUGAUUAGAUACCCUGGUAUUCCAUGCCGUAAACGAUGA
rnacentral:rRNA from 1 species